UGGAGAGUUUGAUCCUGGCUCAGGACGAACGCUGGCGGCGUGCUUAACACAUGCAAGUCGAACGGUGAACUCAAGCUUGCUUGGGGGAUCAGUGGCGAACGGGUGAGUAACACGUGAGUAACCUGCCCUUGACUCUGGGAUAACUCCGGGAAACCGGGGCUAAUACCGGAUACGAGACGCGAUCGCAUGGUCGGCGUCUGGAAAGUUUUUCGGUCAAGGAUGGACUCGCGGCCUAUCAGCUUGUUGGUGAGGUAAUGGCUCACCAAGGCGUCGACGGGUAGCCGGCCUGAGAGGGCGACCGGCCACACUGGGACUGAGACACGGCCCAGACUCCUACGGGAGGCAGCAGUGGGGAAUAUUGCACAAUGGGCGAAAGCCUGAUGCAGCGACGCCGCGUGAGGGAUGAAGGCCUUCGGGUUGUAAACCUCUUUCAGUAGGGAAGAAGCGAAAGUGACGGUACCUGCAGAAGAAGCGCCGGCUAACUACGUGCCAGCAGCCGCGGUA
rnacentral:rRNA from 1 species